UCCUUGCCAGUUUCAGCAAACAGAAAUGGUCUUUUUGAUUACUUUUUUUUACUUUUGUGACUAUCUAAAGCCGGUCAGUUUUGGACGUGUCUAAUAGAUGGCGUGAAGGAAUAUUGUGUUGUCAAUUGUGGGCUCAUGGCGGCUCGUUGUCUAAAUCUAUCUUCAGCUACAGCUAUUUUCUUCGAAAGUUACAAAUGAACACAUAGGUUCAUUCGAGUGAUUUCGUUUUUAUCUUGGCGUUUUCAUGUGGAUAACCUUAGUGUUUCUCAUCAACUUACAGAAGGAAACGUAGCCUACCGUUGACUAUUUUGUUCAAAAUGUGCCAUCGAAAUGACACAGGAUUCAUUAGAAUUAUCUGCUGUAAGAACUGGACUUGCUAGAUCACCAAACCCAUCACAGACCAAUCUCUCAUUCCAUCUUCUAGAGAACCUUGGCUAACUGUUUGGCGGUUUCAAGUGUUUGAAACUAUAGGUUUCUAAAUUUGCAUGACAGACCUUAAGAAAAGUCAUGUUGAAGAAAAAGGACUGACUGACAGUCAACAAGGUAUGCUACCUUGUUUGGUAACCUGUUGGAAACUUCCAUUGAAUCUCCUGUUUUACUUCCUUAAGCUUGAUUUGAGGGUAACUCCUUUGCUACUUAUCAUGGACUUCAUCCAUUGGUGAUGCUGUAAUUCAAGAGAAUGCUGUCAUUCAAGACUAUUAA